GCCCAAGUGGCGGAAUGGUAGACGCAGCGGAUUCAAAAUCCGCCGCCUUUGCGGGCAUGCCGGUUCGAGUCCGGCCUUGGGUACCA
rnacentral:tRNA from 1 species